GACGAACGCUGGCGGCGUGCCUAAUACAUGCAAGUUGAGCGAUGAAGAUUGGUGCUUGCACCAAUUUGAAGAGCAGCGAACGGGUGAGUAACGCGUGGGGAAUCUGCCUUUGAGCGGGGGACAACAUUUGGAAACGAAUGCUAAUACCGCAUAACAACUUUAAACAUAAGUUUUAAGUUUGAAAGAUGCAAUUGCAUCACUCAAAGAUGAUCCCGCGUUGUAUUAGCUAGUUGGUGAGGUAAAGGCUCACCAAGGCGAUGAUACAUAGCCGACCUGAGAGGGUGAUCGGCCACAUUGGGACUGAGACACGGCACAAACUCCUACGGGAGGCAGCAGUAGGGAAUCUUCGGCGAUGGACGAAAGUCUGGCCGAGCAACGCCGCGUGAGUGAAGAAGGUUUUCGGAUCGUAAAACUCUGUUGGUAGAGAAGAACGUUGGUGAGAGUGGAAAGCUCAUCAAGUGACGGUAACUACCCAGAAAGGGACGGCUAACUACGUG
rnacentral:rRNA from 1 species